UACGUAGGGGGCUAGCGUUGUCCGGAAUCAUUGGGCGUAAAGCGCGCGUAGGCGGCCAGAUAAGUCCGGUGUGAAAGUCACAGGCUCAACCUGUGAAUGCCGCUGGAAACUGUCUGGCUUGAGUCCGGAAGGGGCGAGUGGAAUUCCUGGUGUAGCGGUGAAAUGCGCAGAUAUCAGGAAGAACACCUAUGGCGAAGGCAGCACUCUGGGACGGUACUGACGCUGAGACGCGAAAGCGUGGGGAGCGAACAGG
rnacentral:rRNA from 1 species